rnacentral:ncRNA from 1 species
UUCUUCGAGGCGGGGUGCAAUUCCCGACCGGCGGUAAAGUCCGCAAGCGCACAAACGCAUGAUUUGGUGCAAUUCCAAAACCGACAGUAUAGUCCGGACGAGAGAAGAA